rnacentral:rRNA from 1 species
AUUGAACGCUGGCGGCAGGCCUAACACAUGCAAGUCGAACGAGUGGCGGACGGGUGAGUAAUGUCUGGGAAACUGCCCGAUGGAGGGGGAUAACUACUGGAAACGGUAGCUAAUACCGCAUACCAUCGGAUGUGCCCAGAUGGGAUUAGCUGGUUGGUGGGGUAAAGGCUCACCAAGGCGACGAUCCCUAGCUGGUCUGAGAGGAUGACCAGCCACACGGGGACUGAGACACGGUCCAGACUCCUACGGGAGGCAGCAGUGGGGAAUAUUGGACAAUGGGCGAAAGCCUGAUGCAGCCAUUCCGCGUGUAUGAAGAAGGCCUUCGGGUUGUAAAGUACUUUCAGCAGGGAGGCGUUACCCGCAGAAGAAGCACCGGCUAACUACGUGCCAGCAGCCGCGGUAAUAC